UACGUAGGGUCCAAGCGUUAUCCGGAAUCACUGGGCGUAAAGCGUGCGUAGGUGGCGUGUUAAGUGUGAUGUUAAAUCGUGGGGCUCAACCCUGUCGGUGCAUCACAUACUGGCAUGCUAGAGGACAGCAGAGGCAAGUGGAAUUUGUAGUGUAGCAGUGAAAUGCGUAGAUAUUACAAGGAACACCCGUGGCGAAGGCGGCCCACUGGGCCGGUGCUGACGCUGAGGCGCGAAGGCGUGGGGAGCGAACAGG
rnacentral:rRNA from 1 species